GUGGGGAAUAUUGCACAAUGGGGGAAACCCUGAUGCAGCGACGCCGCGUGAGCGAUGAAGUAUUUCGGUAUGUAAAGCUCUAUCAGCAGGGAAGAAAAUGACGGUACCUGACUAAGAAGCACCGGCUAAAUACGUGCCAGCAGCCGCGGUAAUACGUAGGGGGCAAGCGUUAUCCGGAUUUACUGGGUGUAAAGGGAGCGUAGACGGUGUGGCAAGUCUGAUGUGAAAGGCAUGGGCUCAACCUGUGGACUGCAUUGGAAACUGUCAUACUUGAGUGCCGGAGGGGUAAGCGGAAUUCCUAGUGUAGCGGUGAAAUGCGUAGAUAUUAGGAGGAACACCAGUGGCGAAGGCGGCUUACUGGACGGUAACUGACGUUGAGGCUCGAAAGCGUGGGGAGCAAACAGGAUUAGAAACCCUGGUAGUCC
rnacentral:rRNA from 1 species